rnacentral:rRNA from 1 species
CGGGUGCGUAACGCGUAUGCAAUCUGCCUAUAACUGAGGGAUAGCCCAGAGAAAUUUGGAUUAAUACCUCAUAAUAUUGUUUUUUGGCAUCAUUAAACAAUUAAAACUUCGGUGGUUAUAGAUGAGCAUGCGUCCUAUUAGCUUGUUGGUAAGGUAACGGCCUACCAAGGCAACGAUAGGUAGGGGGCCUGAAAGGGUGAUCCCCCACACUGGUACUGAGACACGGACCAGACUCCUACGGGAGGCAGCAGUGAGGAAUAUUGCGCAAUGGAGGAAACUCUGACGCAGCCAUGCCGCGUGCAGGAAGACGGCCCUACGGGUCGUAAACUGCUUUUAUAUAGGAAGAAACCCCGAUACGUGUAUCGGCUUGACGGUACUAUAUGAAUAAGGACCGGCUAACUCCGUGCCAGCAGCCGCGGUAAUACGGAGGGUCCAAGCGUUAUCCGGAUUUAUUAGGUUUAAAGGGUCCGCAGGCGGGAUUUUAAGUCAGUGGUGAAAGCCUACAGCUCAACUGUAGAACUGCCAUUGAUACUGAUAUCCUUGAGUGUGGUUGAAGUGGGCGGAACAUGUCAUGUAGCGGUGAAAUGCAUAGAUAUGACAUAGAACACCAAUUGCGAAGGCAGCUCACUAAGCCAUUACUGACGCUGAGGGACGAAAGCGUGGGGAGCGAACA